UACUAUUUUGUGCGUGUUGUCAAAAGCAAAUCUUGUUUUUGACGACAGACACCGGCAAAGCACUUCAUUGAUUUGUUGCUGCAGGGAAUGAAGUGCGCCAGCCACUUCCGGUCACGUGCCUCGGCGCGCGCGUGGGGGAAAAAAAAGCCGACACCUGCUGCUCGUGGGUGGAGUCCAGUCGAUUGAGGACCGUGAGGAGGAAGGUUUUACUAAAACCUUGGGUCCAGUCGUGGCAGCAACGAUGCUCAUGGAUUGCAGCAUGUGGAGCUUCUCAAGCAGCUGCCUCCUCAGGCGGCCUUUGCCUCUGGACUUUGCAACAGUCCCUUCAGCUUCAGACGGAGACUUGCGGAAUGGAAACACCUUCGAUGUUGGCCCUGAAGAUGGAACCUGCAGCUCAGCUCCACCUGGUUGUGACGGUCACCUCACAAAGUUGUCCAGUGUCUGAUGAUGCUGCCGAUGAAAAUAUGAGUAUUACUCUCAGGUGGAUCUGCUGCACAACUGAUGGACUUGGGCUGGGAACGCACUGGAAGAGUGAUGGAAGCUCACCCAGUGGAUGUGGUCCCGUGUACACUCUGUGAAGGUGCUGAAAUAGAUGCUCGUGUGUGUAGCAUUGUGUACCCACCCGCAUAUGAACCACAGCUCCAACAAAGUUGCCAUGCUGACCAGGUUGUAAAUAAAAAACAGAGUACAAUUAUUUGCAAAUCCUCUUCAACCUAUACCCAACUGAAUGCACUGCAAAUACAAGACAUUUAAUGUUCAUAAACUUUAUUGUUUUAAUGCAAGUGGUUUUGAAUUGGAUUCCUGCAACACAGUGAUGCUGGGGCAGCGGCGUGUUGACCUCUGGGUCACCUUUACUUCUCACCACACUCAAGCGUUUAGGAACUGAGGACACUAAUCAUUGAAGGUUUGUAGCUGGUAUUCUAUCUCAUCCUUACUUGUUGGACAGUCUGGGGUCUCCGUUGUUGUAUUUUGUGCUUCACAGCGAGCAACAGGUCUGGACUGCAGCCAGGCCAGUCUGGUGCCUGCAGUCUUUCACUGCAAAGCCACGCUUGGUGCGGGAUGUGGCUCAGCACCGUCUUGCAGAAAUGAGCUGGGACAUCCCUGAAGACAGCGUUGCUUGGAUGGCAGCAUGUGUUGCUCCGAAACCUGGACGACAAUCUGGAUGGUCCUUUGCCCACAGAACAUGACGCCAUGAUUUCCACACACAAUUUGAAAUAUGGGCCGCUCUGCCUCUGUCCAUUUCAAAUGAGCUCGGACCCAGAGAAGCGCCGGUGUUCCUGGAUGUUGCUGGUUUAAGGCUUGACAUGGAAGAGCUGACUUGCACUUGUAUAUGGAGCUGAUGUGGAAGGGUUCCUGAGCGCACCUGGUUAGAUCUUUUACACAAUGAUGCCGGUGUUUAAGGCAGUGCCCCUGAGGGACAGACGCUCACAAGCAUUCAAUGUUGUCUGAUUAUAUUGUGGAUGAAGAAAUGAUGAAGAAAUCCCUAGAUUCCUAGCACUUGAACUUGAAUCAUCAGUUGCUCACCAAGUGUUCCACUCCACUCAUUUCAAUGGGCCAGUUUGAAGUCACAUGGAGGCUGCGAUCUGUUUAGAAUCUGAAAUGUUUGUUCUUUUUGUUGCAUUAAACAUCUUUACGGAAGCACUUUACAGGCUUAAAUCAUCAGACGACACUCAUUGGUGAUCAAGAGUUAGUGCUGUCACACUGAGCCCUCUGAUUGGCCGGUGUAAUUCAUAACACUUUCCACCUAUGAUAUGUCACUUCGGUCGCUACACAGGUGGUCGGGUGCAGGUGCGGCUUCAGUCAGACUGCAGGUGGGCAUCAAGCUGUCAGUGUCAGGUGUGUGCUUGUCUCAUGAAACGGUGAGUAUAUUUACAGUAGUCGUGGUUUCUGUUACACGUAGAAGAUCGCGGCGCGCCCAGCCGUCAGAAUAACAUCUCCUUAAAAAGGGUCAAAUCUGACGUCAUCCAACGUCUUUUGACGAAGCGGAAACAUCUAAAUUGGCGGGAAACAUAUCCACGCAUCAUAGAAUUGGGCGUGUUGCUGGUGGUUUUAAGAGCAAAAUCCCGAAAAAAAAAACACCGUAAAAAACUCACGACUUUCGCGGAAGUCCCAAUUCGUGUAUCCGGUCGGGACAUCGGAAUAGCGACCGGGUGCAGAUCGGAGUGAGGGUUGCUUCUCGUCAUGAAAAACUAGCGUUUGGAUGGUCCCCAAUUUCGUGCUGUCAAAACUCCCCCUCAGUUUCCUGUUUCCCGCGUUUUCCGCGUUUCGUGAUGGGGGGGGGGAGAGAGAGGGGGGUGUUCAAAACCUGGCGGAAUCUUCUUUUUUUUUUUUUUUUAAUAUUUUAUGAUUUCAAUAUAAAUGAUUUGAAAUGAAUAGAUUCAGACAUGGUGACCUUACGUGAUUGAGUCACAGUCAACCAUUUUAGAUAAUCAUGUUCACGUAGAUGGAAUAAACGUUUGAGAUUCGGAAGUGAAGGUAUCUUGAAAGCAAAUUCAUCAGUGUUUCUUUCAGGUCAUCAGGAGUCUUUGAAACCCGGAAACUGUUCAUGUAAAUCUUUAGUGUAUGAUGUGCACAAUUUACUAAAAAAUCUGCAAAUGCUCAACACUUCGAUAUGUAACAGGAUCAUUUUAAUGUCACAGGAACCAAAUGGAGCCCAGUUGUGUUGACAUGGAGUUGGAAUGGGAUAUAGUCCUCCCAACACUGCAAGAACUGUUGGGUGACCUGUCGCCUGUCGGUGAAACCAAAGUGCCAUGUGGUGGUGACCAACCGGCGCACACUGGUGGUCUGGCAUCUGUCGGGCUGCAGGAAAGUCACCCGCCACAUGUGAUUGGAGGUAGGC